CCCAGCCCCGCCUCUCUCGGCGGACCGCGCCCCCUUCCGGGAGCCCCGCCCCGUUCGCCGCGCCUCCUCCUCCGCACAGCUCCGGUUGCGGGGAGGCCCGGGUGGGUACCCGGCGCUCCGGCUCCCAGUCUCCUGGGCUUCUCCAGUCCUUCAGCGCCGUUCUCCGGUCACAGGGAAUGAAAGCGAGGAAGAAGGAAACGGUGUCGAGAAUUGCGAAGAGAGAAAGCAUAGAAAACCCACAUUAGAGGCACUCCCAGAGCAGAAACCCUUCGGAGCAUCCCGACUUCCUCGGCCCGCGUGCAAUCCAGGCAAAAUUGAGGUUGUCUCUGAGCCGCCCUCCCUAAGCAGGUCGGAAAGCCCCCGAAUCAUCCCAGGUCCCGCCGCGCUGCACUCGCAACCUGGGGUGGAGGUCCCUCUAGUGGUUGGCACCAAACAAAAGUUCUGUCUUAUGAAGAGCCGAGGUCAGGAAGCAUUUCCCUGUGCCCAGCGCCAAGGUCUGGGACCUUAGGUCCAAGAAAAGCGUUGGCAAUGUCUGACCACAGGAAUGGGUUCUCGAACUGGGGAGGACUGAAGCUGGAGAUCUGGUCCAGCCCCUACCUCCAGCGUGUGGCCUGAACCCGUUUUGGUUGUACUGCUAUGUUGUGGCCCUGCCCAGGCCUCCAAGGACUGGCUGCUGUUAAGCUGUUUAAAAUCCCUGUAGGCCUCAGAUGGCAGCGACACCAGGGACUCGGCAUAGUCCCCAGCUCUGGCAGGAGUCACCACAGCCCUAGCCUUUAGUUCUCUACAGGCUGGAGUGUCGACAAACUCCACAGGACACAACUUUUUCAAACCAAAUUUACCCUCGCGGUCUGAAAUGACCAGUAGGCCCAGGAGAAUUUUACAUGUGAACAGAACCUAACCCACCCUGGCAAAUAUGAGACGUGUGGUCACUGCGGGAACCUGGCCAGCAGCAGACCAAAGCACAGCCAGCAGGGGAAGGCUGGGGCCCGCAAGAGUUGUGUUACAACAGGACACCCUUCAGUUCUCUUUCACUUCCUUAAAAUAGCAGCAGAGCGACUUUUGUAGACGCAGGCUGCCACAGUUCACACAAGGUCAUGGCUGUUUCCGAAUCCCACCCUUUAUUGCCCUAGCGGAGCCACUCCCCUUACCUCCGCCCCCAGAAACUGCUAGCCUGUUCUUAAAUUGAUACAGUUACCUUUUUAAAUGUUCUAAGUCACCGGCUCUGGAGCUUCUUUGCACUUUGGAACCAACUUGCGGGAAGGAACUUUAAAAAUACUGAUAUCUCGAUCCAUCCCCAGAGGUUCUGAUUUAAUGGUCUUGGGGAUAUGGCCACGGCAUGAGGACUGUUAAAACUCCGCAGGUGAUUCUUAUGUGCAACAAAGUUUAAGAACCACUGAUGUAGGCCAUGUCGAUGUCAGUCUUCACUUAAAUCCAACAAGACCCCAGAGCUAAAACGUUCACCUGAAAGAAACCCCAUUCCCAGGCCUGCAUACUGACCUGCGCUGGCUCACAAGAAGCAAAGUGGUCCCUUAACAGGGGCUUCCUGGAGAAAAUGUCUUGACCUAAAAGAGUGAUUCGAGCUGCAGGGAUUUAAGAGAGACAGGGCCUUGCUCUGUCACCCAGGCUGAAAUGCAGUGUUGCAAUCUUGGCUCGCUGUAGCCUCAAGCUCUUGGACUCAGGCGAUUCUCCUAUCUCAGCUUCCUAAGUAGCUGGGACUACAGGGCUCAGUGUGGUCAAAAGAAGACUAUAGAAUCAAGGAUGAAGAGAAGGAACACAGAAUAAAAGGACGUCUCAGCAGGAAGCUCUGUGACUACUAUGUGGGGGUUCCAACUCUUUUAAGGUCUCAUCUUCAGCACUUCUAAACUGUGGGAAACUAUGUGAAAACAAAUGGAGUGGCCAAACACACCAUUCAUCACUGUGCUUCUGGACAGCUGCAAGUCCAUACGUGUUCUGAUAAUUCAAUACAAGAAAGAAGAUUUGCUUGGGAAGGUCUGAAUGGCCCUAGCUUUGUUUGUUAACCAUAACCUCUACCAGCUGGAAACACAAUGCCCCACUAAUACUAACAGUGCCUGCUUGUCCAAACAGCAUUCUGGCCACUUACAGCAAUUGACACAAAUUCUAACAGGUCUGUUAAUGUUUUUCAGAUCCUAAACUUGUAGUAGAUUUUUAUGUUCUCUGCAAUCAGUUUUGCUUCAGCGGCCCUGCAGGUGUUUAUGCGUGCUGGCAUGCUAAAUCUCACCAUUCAAAAUAGUUUAUUUUUUACAACAAAAUCUGAAGAAUAAUUUCUUCAUUUUGUCAAAAAAUACCCCAUUCCUAUUAUUUUUCUCUUCUUUAUCUUCACAGGUAGAUGGGGCAAAGCAUUACCUUGUGUAAAACUGCUGCUAAAAUAUAUUCCUAGUGAGAAAGGUCAACUUGUGGGCUAAAGUCCUUGUCACCUCCUGAUCAGUUUUCACUUAGGGCACAGCAGUCUGCCAUUCACCAUUGGGAUCUCUGUGUGUUUCUUCUCUCUUAUGAAAGGACAUAUUGAGCGCUCUAGGACUUGGCUGCCUACAUCAAGUAGAGGGGGACCCUCAUGAUUCACUAAGGGGCCUCAGUUCUGAAUAUUUCUCAUUAUUCAAAAAUGCAAAGCCAUUGUCAUUACGUGGCAGUUUAUUGGAACCAAGGGAGGAAUUGGUCCCUUUUCAUGUUCUUCUCCUAAAUAGAGAAAAGGUAAUUAAAACUUGGAGCUUAAUAAGGGCCAUCUCUAUUUGAACAGCCUAAUACAAAUCCAUUCUCAAUACCUUUUUACACCUUGUCUGAACUGACUUCUACUGUGUACUCCACUGCAUGGGAAUUCUGGAACUUUAGAACGAAGGGAACUCAAUUCAUUCUAUAUAUAUCUCAUUCAUUCAUUUUUUUUUCAUUUGUUCACCAAAUGCUAACUCAAUACCUACGUAACAGAGAUAAUGUUCUUAUUGUCUGUAAAUCAGAAAAUGCAUGCAUUGAAUAAACGCCAUAUAUUCUUGGAAGCUGAGGGCUGAUAACUCAAGGUAAAUGAUCAGCUAGUCUCCUAUGAAAUAAGUAUCUUAUUUCAUGUUACAUGUAGAAAUGACCAUGCAACUUUAUCUUAAAGCCAGGCCUUAUUGAGAAAAAGGGGAUCCAAAUUCCAAAUGUUUCCUUACAUGCUGAGAGGAAACCUUGGAGGUCUGAGCGUGAGUCAUAGGUAGAGGGAAAUCAUGCUAAGAUAUAUAUUGUUUCCACCAGACAGGUAGAGGAAGCAGAGACCCUUUGGCAGAAGAGAUACAGAGAAGAGAGGAGGAGAGGUUCUGGCUUUACCGUUCAGGCUUGAAACCCCAAGUUUAGAUGGAUUGAGGGGGAAGCUUAAGGCAAACAUGACCCCUGGGCCAACACAGGCUAGAGGAACAAUGUAGAAAUGACCAUGUAACUUUAUAGGCAUGAAGAAGAUGCCUGUGAUGGCACUGAGUCUCCUGUGGCUCCCUUGUGUGCCCAAAUGCCUGAAGGAUGUGAGAGUAUUGGUUGUUAGAAUUUCAGGGAAUUCCACCAAGUGGGGAAUGACUCUGUAUUAAGGGCUGCAAAGAAAAGCUCCCAGGCCAAGCAUUGAGUGGGAGGUGCUACCUGCCCUCAGGGAUCCACAGGGACUUCAACAGCUGAUGUGGGGUCUCAUCAGCCUCAAGGUGGCCAAGUUUCUAUGCUGAGACUAUAGCCCACAGUUACACCAGCCAUGAUCCUCAGCAGCAGAGGUAGUGAUGAUGAAGUCUGAUGCCCAAAGACAAGCAGAACAAUAUGCACAGUUCCAGCCAAUGCCACGAGGUAGCCUUUGUACUUCCCUAUACCUAGCUGGGAGGGAGGAAGGAAGGAGAGAGGAGACUCCUAGGAAGAGGAGAAAAUAAUUAUCCCAAAGAGACUGACAUAACCUGGAAAAGACCGAGAACUACUAAUUAGCAAGAUAAAGUUCAUUUACCUCUUCCUGUUUCUUACCAAGAUGGUAUGUAUCCUUUCAGAUAAUAAAUAAAUUUAUGUUUUCUUGCCCUAUUUUAAUGUGAUUUAAAUGUUUCUUGUUUUUUCUGUUUUCAUUCAUAACAAAAAUUUUGUUCUCAGAGACACUGAGACAUGAGACACGAUGCUGGACUAUAUUGGGGGGGAGCACCUCAUCAUAUGGGCAAGAUAUUGCAGCAGCAUGUAGCCCUCCACGUCCUGACUGCUCACUUCUCUUUCGCCAUCCCCUAACACACGUAUUAGGCUUUUGCUAUGUUCAUUUAUCUAGCCCAUAAGCCACUCCUUCAGAGGGCAAUGCAUGGAAUUGGCAGCCUUGGUUCCCCACCAACUGACAGGGGUCUGGAAUUCAGGUGUUUCCAAAGACCUGCAGUCUUGGGGGCCUUAAUGCUUGCUGAGUAGCAGCACUUUCUAGGACUUUCCCUAUUGUACGUUUCAGUCCAUGCUUUUCUUUUUGUCUUGUCUCAGUGUUCUUCCCUGCUAGUCUGGUUCUCAACAAGACCCAAGCCCUGCAACACACCCAAAUCCCCUUGAUGGGAACCUGAUUUCCUACGUGGCUUUUCCCAGUCACCCCAUGCUCUCCCCACUCCCAUCUUUCCUGGUGAAUUGCUCCUUUCCUAAAUCUGUUGUGAAUAACAAUUUGGCCACAGUGCUAAAGCCUCUCACUCCUCACUUUAAAUUCCUUUGGGAAACAGUCAUUCAUGUUCAUUUUAGACAAUUUCCCUGUCCUGUGCGGACUCUUCUCAAGAAGUCUACUCCCAAAACUCCUGCUGAGGUAGGUCCAGGUCA
rnacentral:lncRNA from 10 species